rnacentral:lncRNA from 1 species
AUGGGGCCAGGAGCUGUCGUAGUCACAACAGCACCCCCAUGGUACCCGCUUGCAGCUGGGAAGGAGGCCGGUGUCCCGGCUUCGCUGCAGCCCAGCCAAAGGACAAAGUUGAGACACACGGGAUGGAGAUGGCAACUGCCACCUGCAAACAGAUGUGGUGCAAGCUCUAAUGACCACCGCUGGCUAAGCCCAGAAAAAGCUCACUGCUCACCACCACCAAGGGAAAAGCAAACCAAAAAUUUUAAAAAGCCAAAAUUGAACAACGGCACAAUAUGUCACCGCUCUCCAAAUUCACCACGCUGGCAUUUGUUCCCAGGGGAAAACCCUCAGAAGCCUUUUUGCUUCUCCCAGGAAACCACUGUAUACACGCACCCCAGAAGGGCCAGAGAACACCUAUAAACACUUCGAAGGAUCAUAGCAAGACACAUCAAGGUGGUGGGAUCUACCAAAGAGACACUCCCAAGAUGGCUGGAGAUGUGUUUUUUGUGUCCCAAGAUGGCUGGAGAUGUGUUUUUUGUGUUUCAGGCCCCAGAGAACAUCUGUUGAUCCAGCAGAACGCUUCCUUUGGUAUUUCAGAUGGGUUACAUGGGCGCUAGAAGAAUCGUUCCUCAAAAGCAGCACUAUAUGCUCACGCAAAAUCACAGAUCGUGAAUUUCCACACUUUAUUUUCUAAUAAUGAGUUCUUCCCGUUCUUUUCCUUCCCCAAAAAGUCUUACCACCAGUGACCUCAGGGUAUUGAAUUUCAUUGGAUGUAUCUAACAUUGUAGUCACAAAACUCCAUUUUACCUUAAAUUAGCUGGAACCUUUCCCAAUAUCUGGUAUUGCCUGGAAAAACACUUGAGUUUACUGAUGUCCCAGUACAAUUGCCUCUGCUCAGGCAAGAGUUCUCAUGGCAUACGCUACCACUAACACUAUUCAUCUGUGCUUGGAUCACUUUUGGGAGGUUUGUACAGAGAUUACCAGAUUUUUCUGCAGUUCGGCAAUUUCUGAGUGUAGAAAAUAUUUAUACACAAGGGGUGAAUAAGUGAAACUAUAUAACAUAAUAAUUAGUUAUCUUGAUUGGAGAACAGGGUUAUAAACAAAGGGAAGGAGGGCUGGUAGAGAAAGAUCCAUUUGAUUUCAGAUACACCACAGCACUCAGUGCUAGCAUCUGUGUCAAUACCCUGUGAACCGUUUUCCCCUCUCCCUUCUUUGCUGGUAUCGCUGCUGAUGACGAAUAUAGCAAGAACCUUUCCUCAUUUAUUGCUUGCAAGAAGAAACAGACAAGACAAGUGACCCGACAAUGAUUGAGAAGGCCCAUCUAAUUAGACAAGACAGGAGACAGAUGUUCGUGGGUAUUCCUUUAGUGAGAAAGUCACAGCUACGGAGGAGGAAAGUGAAAAUGCAGACCAACACUUGCUAAUGCAAUUGCCUAACAGCCUGAAGAAGGGCUUAGGAAGCUAAGUUACUUGUGCAGUGCUCAGGAGAGCAUAGGCACAGCAAUCUCCCACUGAAAUUCUUUGGUCUGCAUGCUUCAGAAUACUUACCCACUACACAAAGCACCAGGAUUUGAUAGGAACAAACACAAGCAUGCCUCUAGUGCGAGAAGAUUAAAAACACCAUUACAGCUGCAAAGAAAAAAAAAAAACACAGCCUUUUGUAAAGCUUGUGUUUACAGAAUGUUUCUUACCAUAUGAUUUCUGCUGUAAACACAUUUGCUAACAGCACAAGCAGAAUGCCACUGCUGCACCCUAAACCCAGCCAGCCCACCAGCAGUCUGCAGCAUAAGAGGUGACAAAGAGCACCUGAGUUUGUCAGAUCUGCCCUGGACAUCCCAGGGGGUAAUGUGAGACUUCUUAGCUCCAGACACAUGUUUACAUGUAUGUUAAGUGUCAGAAAAAAAGUCUAGAUUCAGACCAAAUGGUAUGAAGUAUAAAAAACUCUUCCGUAAUAAAGUGGCAGCAGAAAAAGGCA